rnacentral:rRNA from 1 species
AGGACGAACGCUGGCGGCGCGCUUAACACAUGCAAGUCGAGCGAGAACCAGACCUUCGGGUCUGGGGACAGCGGCGAACGGGUGAGUAACACGUGGGUAAUCAACCCUUGACACUGGGAUAGCCCGGGGAAACCCGGAUUAAUACCGGAUGGCCCUUUGGAUCCUCGGAUCUGAAGGAAAAGGUAGCUUCGGCCUCCGGUCAAGGACGAGCCCGCGGCGGAUUAGCUUGUUGGUGAGGUAACGGCCCACCAAGGCGACGAUCCGUAGCUGGUCUGAGAGGACGAUCAGCCACACUGGGACUGAGACACGGCCCAGACUCCUACGGGAGGCAGCAGUGGGGAAUCUUGCGCAAUGGGCGAAAGCCUGACGCAGCAACGCCGCGUGCGGGAUGAAGGCCCUCGGGUUGUAAACCGCUUUCAGCAGGAACGAAAUGACGGUACCUGCAGAAGAAGGUCCGGCCAACUACGUGCCAGCAGCCGC